GACCACCAGCGAGAUCUGAACUCGCGACCCCGGUUUACGAGACCAGUGCUCUAACCUCUGAGCUUGCAUGC
rnacentral:tRNA from 13 species